rnacentral:rRNA from 1 species
GCCUACGGACAUACCACCCUGAACACGCCCGGUCUCAUCUGAUCUCGGAAGCCAAGCAGGGUCGGGCCUGGUUAGUACUUGGAUGGGAGAAUUGGAACACAGGGAUCUUUAGUGC